CUUGAAUUUUUUUUUCUCGCGCUCUGGUCUCAAGCUCGAGCUCGCGUUUUAAAGCUCAGAAGCUUGAAGCUCUCUUGUUCUUCUCUAUCUACAUCUCUCCACUUCUCUCUCAUCAGAAACCCUAGAAAUUGGGGCUUCUUCCAAUGUCAAACUCCAAUAUAGAGAAAAGUUGCUUCUCCUCCGGUCCUAGUACUGCUAGCCUAUAAUCUGAAUUUGGAAUUGUCAUUAUAUCAAGCAUUGGACCUCUGUCUCUGCUUCCAUAUCCUCAAGCUGGAAUGCUUCUGAUUCCACUCCAUGCCACUGGACACUCUGAUUUGGCCUUCUCUUGUCACCAUUAUAUAUAAUGUGCUC